CAGGCACCAGAAUCCCACUGACACAGCGCCAUGGGCAUGGGAAUAGGUGGGAGUCAGUAGCUAGGGUUGGCAGGUGUAACAGAGCCCCCAGUUACAGCGGCACAAAUGUGGACAGGCUGAAGGCUCACGCAGUGCAGGGCUGGUGUGAAAUAGAGCUCAGCCAUCAGAACCGUGCUCCAGGUGUAAUUCAUUAAGAGGAGUUCAUACUUGGCCCCUGAUCCAGCAUGAUGAGUGUCUUUGUAAAAGGGGGAAAUUUGGACACAGACAAGCAUCGAGGGAAGAUGGUGUGGGAGACACAGGCUGAAGACGGCUGUCGAGAGGCCAAGGACAGAGGUCUGGACCAGAUC
ensembl:lncRNA